UGCACUGAUUUCCCCAUGUUAAAAGGAGUUUUAACAUGGAAAGGACUCUUGACACCUCUUAGACUUGACGCUCCAACACACCACGUGAAAGAGUCCUUAUGCGCCCCACCUCCUCAUGUUAGAAGGAGUUCUAAUGUGGGAAAAACUCUUGGACACCCAAGAGACUAGUGCAUGAAGGAGUUUAUGCCUAUAAGAGGAUGCUCAACGUAUUGGUGUGUUGAAGAGCAAUUCUCUCUAGCACCUCCCAUCUCUUAAGAUCUUUUCUCACUCCUCUUUUCACACCCU
rnacentral:lncRNA from 1 species